UCCCUGUGUUUGUCAGUCCGUCCGUCUGUCUAUCUAUCUGUUUCUGUACGUUUUAAAUUGUUCAUUCCAUGAACAUUUUUUCUUUUCAUAACUUGGUUGUGUGCUUUGGCUUUGGCUUCUCUAUAACAAACGUACGUUUCUUUUAACUUGUGCAUUUUUUUCUUGCUGGAUUUUAUAUUACAAUUUUUUUGCCGCCAAAUCCAAAUGAAUGAGUUUUAUACAGGGAACCGAACCAGCAACUAACAGUAAUAGAGCACCUAGCUCUAGCCAGGCAGGCAGUCACAGCAACUGAAAUUAUGUUUGGUACUCUACUACCUAUAUAAGAGUAUGAAAAAGAAGAAAAUCUCAUAAAAAAUGUCUAUUACCCCCAAACCAACCAACCAACCUCCAACCUUAAGCAAACUUUUGCCAUCAUAGUCAUAGUCUUCGUCGUCGUCAUUAUCAUCAUCAUCAAACUUACUUACAAACUGAUUAACUAACGCACAUAUUUCUGGUAAUCGAAGGAAGUUAAGUUUCUCAACAGCAGCAGCAGUAAUAUUAACUACCAGAUAUCUGUGUCUGUGUCAUAUGUAGAGAAGAAAAGCUGUAAAAGUGAUAUUCAUGCAGUCAUCGCGGAAGAUGAGAAAAACAUUGAUGGAACUAGUACGAGGUUACUAGAAGCGCACAACAGGAUCGAUAGGUCACUAUCAACCAAUUAUUUUCGAAACUAUUAAUGAAAGUUAUCGAUUACUUCUGGUUUUGACUUUAGUACCUGAAUUAGGAGUUGCCAGAUUAAGUGAGAUUGGAUAGACAAACAUUGAAUAUAUGGUAACCUUGUGAGACCAAGGUGAAGAAACAGGCGCAAACUUAGAAAGUUGAGUAGCGUUUAUGAUUGCAAUCAUUAUUUCUGGCAACUACAAGCAGAAACAAAAACAAUAACAAAGACAACAAUGUCAUACUUUGCUAGACGUCAACAUCAUUAUAAACACAUGUAUAAAAUUGUCAAUAAUAAAAAUCAACAACAGCAGCAACAA